rnacentral:misc_RNA from 1 species
GACAAGAAUGCAAGAGAUGUCAUUAGAUUAUCAUUUUACAGUGGAGCAAGAAGUUGGCUCAUCUACUCAUGCAUUCUUUGGUUUUAAUGGGACUGGUGGUAUAUGGAGAAUAGCAGCCAUUGAUGAAGCUGGUGGAUGGAAAGAUAGAACAACUGUUGAAGAUAUGGAUCUUGCUGUUAGAGCUAGUCUUAAAGGAUGGAAGUUUGUUUAUCUUGGUGACCUCCAGGUGAAAAGUGAACUUCCAAGUACCUUCAAAGCGUUCCGUUUUCAGCAGCAUCGAUGGUCGUGUGGCCCCGCGAAUUUGUUCAGGAAAAUGGUGAUGGAAA